rnacentral:rRNA from 1 species
AGAGCGAACGCUGGCGGCAGGCCUAACACAUGCAAGUCGAGCGCCCGUAGCAAUACGGGAGCGGCAGACGGGAUAGUAACACGUGGGAACGCGCCCUUCGGUUCGGAAUAACUCAGGGAAACUUGAGCUAAUACCGAAUACGCCCUUACGGGGAAAGAUUUAUUGCCGAAGGAACGGCCCGCGUCCGAUUAGCUAGUUGGUGAGGUAAUGGCUCACCAAGGCUACGAUCGGUAGCUGGUCUGAGAGGAUGACCAGCAUCACUGGGACUGAGACACGGCCCAGACUCCUACGGGAGGCAGCAGUGGGGAAUAUUGGACAAUGGGCGAAAGCCUGAUCCAGCCAUGCCGCGUGGAUGAUGAAGGCCUUAGGGUUGUAAAGUCCUUUUAACGGGGAAGAUAAUGACGGUACCCGUAGAAUAAGCCCCGGCUAACUUCGUGCCAGCAGCCGC